UUUAAAUGUGAAUCUAAUAUCUAUCUUGAUUUGUAUGAGUUUUAUGAUUUUCUUUACAAGUUUCUCUUUUGGAGGCUCACACAAAGAUAUUUGUUUAUGCAGUUGGAAAGGGCUUAUUAUGAUGGACUGCUCAAUCGCCUCCGUAAACACGCAUUAACACCGCGUAACUCUAACCAAACUAUUAGAAAAUUUAUAGGCUGAAAAGUUUUUGUCAGGUUCUAUUUAGCUGCAUAAUUCUAACUUGGAUUAUUGCAUGGUACAUGUUUGUAUUUUUGCUUCAACGAGUCUCUUGCAGGAAAAUUAUACCCUGUCCAUCUACUAAUCCGGGUUGCAUAUCUAUAAAUCCAAAGUCAUUGUCUCCAUACAAAUCCUGUGUUUUUGGGACCAAUAACAGUCAAUUCUUGCAGGGAGUAGCUGUCUUUGUAAUAAUCUAAUAAAAUGAAAGUGAUUCAAUGGGUAGCAAGAACGAAGUUGGUCAGAAAAUGGACAAAGAGUUAUACCAAUCUACUCGCACCUGGCAGAAAAAGAGUUAAAAGCGGACAACUCAAAGUUGGGAAGGGUUGCUCUUUCAGCUGCAAUCAUUAACGAUGUUCU